rnacentral:rRNA from 1 species
GCUGGCGGCGUAGAUUAGGCAUGCAAGUCGAGCGAUACUUUUUUCUUGAUGUGGUGAAGCCGCAAGGCUGAUCUGUUGAUGGGAAGAAGAUAUAGCGGCAGACUGGUGAGUAACACGUGAGUAAUUUACCUCUAAGUCGGGGAUAGCCUUGCGAAAGUGAGGGUAAUACCCGAUGUGUUUACGAUUGCAUAAGCAAUUGUAAGUAAAGGAGGCUCGCAAGAGUUUCCGUUUAGAGAUGAGCUCGCGUCCUAUCAGCUAGUUGGUAGGGUAACGGCCUACCAAGGCUUUUGACGGGUAGCUGGCCUGAGAGGGUGGUCAGCCACAUGGGGACUGAGACACUGCCCCAACUCCUACGGGAGGCUGCAGUCGAGGAUAUUUAGCAAUGGACGAAAGUCUGACUAUGUGACGCCGCGUGAGGGAUGAAGGUCUUCGGAUUGUAAACCUCUUUCGAUAGGGAAGAAAACCUGUUCUUAACGGAACAGACUGACGGUACCUAGAUAAGAAGCCACGGCCAACUCUGUGCCAGCAGCCGCGGUAAUACAGAGGUGGCGAGCGUUACUCGGAUUUAUUGUGUGUAAAGGGCAGGUAGGUGUCUUGACAAGUUAGAAGUGAAAUCCUGCAGCUCAACUGCAGAACUGCCUUUAAAACUGUUAAGAUUGAGGCUGGGAGAGGAGAGCGGAAUUCUCGGUGUAAGAGUGAAAUCUGUAGAUAUCGAGAGGAACACCAGUGGCGAAGGCGGCUCUCUGGUCCAGAUCUGACGCUGAACUGCGAAAGCGUGGGGAGC